GACGAACGCUGGCGGCGUGCCUAACACAUGCAAGUCGAACGGAACUGUUUUGAAGGAUUUCUUCGGAAUGAAUUUGAUUUAGUUUAGUGGCGGACGGGUGAGUAACGCGUGAGUAACCUGCCUUCAAGAGGGGAAUAACAUUCUGAAAAGAAUGCUAAUACCGCAUGACAUAUCGGAACCACAUGGUUUUGAUAUCAAAGAUUUUAUCGCUUGAAGAUGGACUCGCGUCCGAUUAGUUAGUUGGUGAGGUAACGGCUCACCAAGACCGCGAUCGGUAGCCGGACUGAGAGGUUGAACGGCCACAUUGGGACUGAGACACGGCCCAGACUCCUACGGGAGGCAGCAGUGGGGGAUAUUGCGCAAUGGGGGCAACCCUGACGCAGCAACGCCGCGUGAAGGAUGAAGGUUUUCGGAUUGUAAACUUCUUUUAUUAAGGACGAAAAAUGACGGUACUUAAUGAAUAAGCUCCGGCUAACUACGUG
rnacentral:rRNA from 1 species